rnacentral:rRNA from 1 species
GACGAACGCUGGCGGCGUGCUUAACACAUGCAAGUCGAACGAUGAAGCCCAGCUUGCUGGGCGGAUUAGUGGCGAACGGGUGAGUAAUACGUGAGUAACCUGCCUUUAACUCUGGGAUAAGCCUUGGAAACGGGGUCUAAUACCGGAUACGACCAACCCUCGCAUGGGGUGUUGGUGGAAAGGGAUUUUGUACUGGUUUUAGAUGGGCUCACGGCCUAUCAGCUUGUUGGUGAGGUAACGGCUCACCAAGGCGACGACGGGUAGCCGGCCUGAGAGGGUGACCGGCCACACUGGGACUGAGACACGGCCCAGACUCCUACGGGAGGCAGCAGUGGGGAAUAUUGCACAAUGGGCGCAAGCCUGAUGCAGCGACGCCGCGUGAGGGAUGACGGCCUUCGGGUUGUAAACCUCUUUCAGCAGGGGAGAAGCGAAAGUGACGGUACCUGCAGAAGAAGCGCCGGCUAACUACGUGCCAGCAGCCGCGGUAAUACGUAGGGCGCGAGCGUUGUCCGGAAUUAUUGGGCGUAAAGAGCUUGUAGGCGGUUUGUCGCGUCUGCUGUGAAAGCCCGGGGCUUAACCCCGGGUUUGCAGUGGGUACGGGCAGACUAGAGUGCAGUAGGGGAGACUGGAAUUCCUGGUGUAGCGGUGAAAUGCGCAGAUAUCAGGAGGAACACCAAUGGCGAAGGCAGGUCUCUGGGCUGUAACUGACGCUGAGAAGCGAAAGCAUGGGGAGCGAACAGGAUUAGAUACCCUGGUAGUCCAUGCCGUAAACGUUGGGCACUAGGUGUGGGGAACAUUCCACGUUUUCCGCGCCGUAGCUAACGCAUUAAGUGCCCCGCCUGGGGAGUACGGCCGCAAGGCUAAAACUCAAAGAAAUUGACGGGGGCCCGCACAAGCGGCGGAGCAUGCGGAUUAAUUCGAUGCAACGCGAAGAACCUUACCAAGGCUUGACAUAUACUAGAUCGCCUCAGAGAUGGGGUUUCCCUUCGGGGCUGGUAUACAGGUGGUGCAUGGUUGUCGUCAGCUCGUGUCGUGAGAUGUUGGGUUAAGUCCCGCAACGAGCGCAACCCUCGUUCUAUGUUGCCAGCACGUAAUGGUGGGGACUCAUAGGAGACUGCCGGGGUUAACUCGGAGGAAGGUGGGGAUGACGUCAAAUCAUCAUGCCCCUUAUGUCUUGGGCUUCACGCAUGCUACAAUGGCCGGUACAAAGGGUUGCGAUACUGUGAGGUUGAGCUAAUCCCAAAAAGCCGGUCUCAGUUCGGAUUGGGGUCUGCAACUCGACCCCAUGAAGUCGGAGUCGCUAGUAAUCGCAGAUCAGCAACGCUGCGGUGAAUACGUUCCCGGGCCU